AGGGCCCAGGGCUGGUUGACUCUGUCUCCUCCACCUUGGUGACCUGUAGCAAUCUGAUUGGACAAGCUCGCUCCCUUCAGUCCAUCACCCAGCAACUGUCGGAAAUGUAAGUCUGCACUUUCAAACAUUUGUAAAUAUUUGCUUUUAUAUGUAUGGAAUGUGCUGUAUAGAUAUUCCGCAAUUGAUUAAUUGACAUGUAUGGUCCAGUGAGUUUUAUCUGUAAAAGCUGAGGUUCAAUCCAAUAUGGUAGCGGGCCAUAAUGCAUAAACAUUAUCGUGCAGAAGAUGCACCAUGACGAUGACCUUUACGAGUCCGUGGGUGGCCAGAAACCACUGUCCCCAAGAAGGCGAUUACGCCCAGCUCUUCUGUCACAAUACUCUCCUCAGGACAACGCCAAGAUCCCUGUGCUUUACAUCCCCAAGAGGGCUGAUCGGAAAUCACUGAAGUCAGUUGAUCCGAAGGCCCUGAGAGUAGUCAGGUGGGUACUGCAGACCAUCUAUAGACGCCAUGGGUGGCUGGGUCAGGCUAACGACCACAGCAGACAGGCCAAAGAAAGCUUGCUGCUCUGUGAUGUCAUCCAGGUCCUGCUUGAGAAGCUCUACCACAAGAUGGCCACUGCUGGAGAUCUACAGGUGGCACCUACCCAAACAUAUGCCCUACAUACUGACAACCGCUUCAAGACGAAGUUGCAGGAGGCUACAGUUGAACCCAUCAGCGAUAUCAUCGGACAUCUGUCCAUCAAUCUGCUGAGGUUCGAGUCUUGCUUCGUGCCCAAGAAGAGAUGGUCGUCGUCAACCAUCCUGGCUAAGAGCGUCUCCGAUGACCAACCUGGGGAGCCGAGCUGUGGCUUUGGCUGUGGCCAUGGACAUCAGCUCCAAUGUGGUUGAGAAGCUCAAAGAGGCCUCAGGUAGCAGCAAGACCACUUGCUCGAUGACUAGCCUUCGGGACUUUGUCAGAGCCAUGACCGUCAGCCAUCCAGAGCUCAGCCAGCAGGCCACCUCGGGUGGGUCAAAAAUUAACAACAUCUACAGGGAGGUUCUGGAGAUGGUUGUGACCAAGCUGAGGAGUUUUGUCACCAAAGGGGGAUCAUUUCACAAGCCCACAGAGCACUUAGCGCAGAAGAUGGCGGAGAGCUGCCUCGAGGUAGAAUGUGCUUUCAUGGAGAUUCUGCAGACACUUAAGAGUCACGGAACAGGCGAUGAGGCAUGCAGCGCCUGGGCAGUUGACUGCAUGUCCACGACUAUCUCUGACACCAUGUUUAAACGUGUGACUGAGGGGGGCUAUCCUCCUCAUGUUACUCAUGUCUCUGGGGCAAUGGUCACAAACUGUGGUCCAAUCAGAAUCAGUGAUGUUAACCAGCGCAGCCUAUCAAGAUCAAGGCUAGAAUGUCCAGGUCCUCCGUGAACCUCCUACAAACCACUGUGGAAAAGUUUGUGCAUAAGCUGAAGGGUGAGCGGGUGCCCAUCCCAGAACUAGGAGAAGGAAUGUCUACUUCUACCAGGAGAAGGAAUGUCUACUUCUACCAGGCCCCAGCAAGGAAAGGAUCCUGGUAAGAUCGACAGAGGUAUUUCUCUAUUUUUUUAAAGAAAAUACAUGUAUAUUUUUUCUUGUUUUUUAAUUCUAUUUUUAUUAUAAAAUGCAUAAAUAAACAAAUGAUUCAGCCUUCUUCGCUAUUAAUACUAUGUAAUGUUUCCUAAAUGUAAAUAAAAUAAUUACCUCUUCUCUCACAGACAACCUACGUACACCACAGAGUGUUCAGAGGAGAUUCACUACGGAGCCAACUGAAACGGGAGGAGCUAAUUAGUAUGCUGUGUGCAUUGAUGAGCAAAUCCAUCAUUAGCUCCUUGUCUUUGGAUAGAGCUUUUCAGGUUCCAGUUGACGCAGUCUCAGAUACAAAGGAAAGCAGAGCUUCUGCUGUGAAGUUGGGUACGAAUGCCAGAACGCCCCCUCCUCGCCCCACCCUCACUAUCAGUCAGAGGGAUAAUAAGCCUGUCCAAGAGGACAGCAGGAGGAGAAUCCGACAUCUCCGUACUCUUCAGGCUCCCAAGAGGUAAGUAGCCCAGAGGUUAGAGGCAGACCAGUAGUGCUGGAAAGUCGCUGGUUCAAAUCCAAGGCAGGGCAAUGGGAAAAAAUGUGGGAACUGAAAUUACAACUGAAGGGCUGGUGGUUUCAGAUACAUUUUUGAAUAUCCUUUGCAAGAUGGACUAAUAAAGUUAUAU